ensembl:piRNA 21ur-2974 ncRNA
UUUCGUAAUAGUAGAAUACAG